rnacentral:rRNA from 1 species
CAGGCCUAACACAUGCAAGUCGAACGCACCGCAAGGUGAGUGGCAGACGGGUGAGUAACACGUGGGAAUCUAUCCUUUGCUACGGAACAACUCCGGGAAACUGGAGCUAAUAUCGUAUGUGCCCGAAAGGGGAAAGUUUUAACGGCAAGGGGUGAGCCCGCGUCGGAUUAGCUAGUUGGUGGGGUAAAGGCCUACCAAGGCGACGAUCCCUAGCUGGUCUGAGAGGAUGACCAGCCACACUGGAACUGAGACACGGUCCAGACUCCUACGGGAGGCAGCAGUGGGGAAUAUUGCACAAUGGGCGCAAGCCUGAUGCAGCCAUGCCGCGUGUAUGAAGAAGGCCUUCGGGUUGUAAAGUACUUUCAGCGAGGAGGAAGGCGAUAAGGUUAAUAACCUUGUCGAUUGACGUUACUCGCAGAAGAAGCACCGGCUAACUCCGUGCCAGCAGCCGCGGUAAU